GACGAACGCUGGCGGCGUGCUUAACACAUGCAAGUCGAACGGAAAGGCCCUGCUUUUGUGGGGUGCUCGAGUGGCGAACGGGUGAGUAACACGUGAGUAACCUGCCCUUGACUUUGUGAUAACUCUAGGAAACUGGGGCUAAUACCGGAUAGGAGCUCCUGCUGCAUGGGGGGGGUUGGAAAGUUUCGGCGGUGGGGGAUGGACUCGCGGCUUAUCGGCUUGUUGGUGUGGUAGUGGCUUACCAAGGCUUUGACGGGUAGCCGGCCUGAGAGGGUGACCGGCCACAUUGGGACUGAGGUACGGCCCAGACUGCUACGGGAGGCAGCAGGGGGGAGUAUUGCACAAUGAGCGGGAGCCUGAUGCAGCAACGCCGCGUGCGGGAUGACGGCCUACGGGUUAUGAACCGAUUUCGCCUGUGCCGAGGCGUGAGUGACGGUAAUGGGUCAGGAAGCCCCGGCUAACUACGUG
rnacentral:rRNA from 1 species